rnacentral:piRNA from 1 species
UAUCUUCUGCCUUUUGCCUUUCA